rnacentral:lncRNA from 1 species
CUGGCACACAGAAAGUCUCCAACAAGCCUCUGUGUAUCUCUCACAAUAAUAGUUUACAAGAAGAGGCAGAGGAUGUUGACACAAACUUACAGACUGGGACUCCAAGGAUCAGCCAGAUGAAAUGCUAUGUGCAGAGUCUUCAUUUCCCAGCUCAGUGGUGGACAGCAGAGGACUCUAAGAAUCACCUCAUAAAUGAACUACCUUGACAUGCCCUGACCCAGGCUCUUUAUUUGGAAACCCAGGCUAGGACAGGAAUGAAGAGAAGCCAGACCUUCUGACUCGAAGAUCCAGCCACCUCUUGGGAUGCACACGUUUCUCUUCAACUGCGUGAUGUGAACUGCGUCACAUGUGAAUUAUCAACAGAAACUACCUAGAGAAACCUGUAACUUCAGAUCUUCUGAUUAAUUGAUUUUCUUUGGGUGCUGCUUGACAGUAACAGAAUGGUCCAUGGGGACAGUUUUUCAGUGAAUGUUUUCAACAAUGAUAGGAACACAGAGCUAAGCAGAGUGUCAAGAGACAUUUAGUGCAGUAGAGACAUCUCAUCUGUUUUUCUGCAGAACUUGCAUAAAAUUAGCAUCUGAUUAUUAUCACCUCAGAAUGAACCGGAACCCGUAAAGAUGUCUUUGAUCGUAAAAGUGGGGAGGAGACCCUGAUGGAAGAAGAGAAGACUUCAGCCUCACAAUAGAAAAGACUGUGUUUAUGCACCUAAAUCUAACUUAGACACCAUCUAAUUCAAGAAACAGGCACAUUUAGGGAAAUAAAGAAAAGAGGCAGAAAGAGAUGAAGCACCUUGGCUGAAUCAGAGAAAUUAGGGGUUAAUGUUCCAGACUGAUGACUUGAAGGAGGGUGUGCAUUUUCAUGCAAGGGACCAUUCUGUAGAAGAAGCAGCACAUUCACCCUUAAAUGAGCAAAGAGAAUCCCAAUCACUCUCCCUCUCACCCUCCCCUUUUCCUUCAUUUCUCUAGCUCUUUAUUUCCAAGAAGGCCAGCCCUUCUCUUCAGCCACAUGGUAUUUGGACAGCCUAGGCUCAAUCCCUGCAGGGAAAGCUCAAUCAGCCAGCUGAGCCAGUCACUGAACAACCAAGUCUGGUAAGAACAGGGGUGAAGUAUUUAAGAAGCCUAUCGUGGCUGGAGGGCUAAAGCCUUGUUCUCAAAUCAGCUUUAUAGGUAAUAAAACUGACAUUAAAGCAAAAACAAAUAAGAGUAA